UACGAAGGGGGCUAGCGUUGCUCGGAAUCACUGGGCGUAAAGCGUGCGUAGGUGGUUUGUUAAGUCUGAUGUGAAAGCCCUGGGCUCAACCUGGGAAUUGCAUUGGAUACUGGCAGGCUAGAGUGCGGUAGAGGAUGGCGGAAUUCCCGGUGUAGCAGUGAAAUGCGUAGAGAUCGGGAGGAACAUCUGUGGCGAAGGCGGCCACCUGGACCAGCACUGACACUGAGGCACGAAAGCGUGGGGAGCAAACAGG
rnacentral:rRNA from 1 species